AUCGUGCUCGAUAGAGGGAAGUACAAUCUACGAGUGGAUACUAGUCUUUCUCUUCCGAUGCAACAUGUUGCGUAUGUAAAGUGCGUUUAAACUAAAUGAGCGAAUGCUCGUUCUUUAUUUUUUUCAAUAAAUUAAUCCAUUAGGAUCCAAUAUUGCUUUAAUGCAACAUUUCAUUUGUAAUUUUUUUUUAAUUAAUAUAGAUUAAUUAAUAAUCAUCAAAUAUCAAAUUUUUUAAUAGUGCAAUUAUGAAGUGAGACUCCAACAGUAUUUAAUAUUUUUUCUAUAAAGAAUUAUUAAAAGAUUUUUUUGACAACAUUUAUGUUUAUACUUAUAUAUCUUGAAUUCCGAUCUUUUGGAUAUUUAGAUACCGAAAUUUGGAUUUUGAAUUAUCACCAGUAUUUUGAAUAUCAUAUAUCAUUAUAUAAUAUCAAAGAUUCUGGCAGAAACUAAUAUAGCCUAUAGACAUAUAAUUGAUAUAUAUGGAUAGUUGAGCACAUCAACAUCCUUUAAACAUCAGAAAUUUAACGAUUCGCAUUACUGGCUGAAUCCCAGCAUCUCGAGCGAAUUUCGCAAUUUACACGUCAAAUAAACGCCAAAGAAAAAUCUAAUUUUCCAGUGUCGCUCUGAAAAUCAAUCUCGCGACCAAACGAAUAGUUUCAUUCCCUCUAUGUUUAGGAAUUCGUUUUGCAUUCUUAUAAAUGUUAAAAUACCAGAUUUAUACAAUAGAAAUUAAAUUUAAUAGAAUUUAAUUUUUGAAUGAAAUUACAAAUACAUUUUAUACAAUUUUAAUAUAAAUUUUAUAUAUUUGAAAAGUAAUAAGAUAUAUUGUAUAUAUCUUUCGAUAUGAUUUAUCGAUUGCACUGAUGUCGAGAAGUUUUCGGUAUUUAUGGCGAUUAUACAAGCCUAUGCUGCAGAGAACAGAGAAGAACCAAUUAAUUGUUCGCGGCCGAAUUGUUCCAAAAUUCGAAGGAAGGUCACCUAUUAGUUAUCUUGAAAUCCCAUAUCGGCUAGACUCGCAAAUAACAAACAACAUGAGCAAUCUUGCAACUAAGUGUAUGACGGUAAAGAAAAUUUUGAUCGUUGUUUUCUCCCUUCGUCGAGGGAUCUGCAAGAAAAUCAAAAAUAAUGGCUAUUAAUUUACGUGUAAUUAAUGGAACUCUCAUGUAUUCUUAAUUAUUCUUUUUGUUUGUCGUCAACUUCGUUGAUAGUGUCAAAAGGAAUUUUAAUCUCUUAACAAUGGAUAUCGACAUAAAACUUUUUAUGAUUCGCAUAAAGGAAACAUCGAUUCGAUUCAUCGUUUCUGAAUGGCAUGAAUUUAUCCGUCGAACGGAUAAAAAUAAAGAGUCGAGCUUUAUACGAAGAGACAAAGAUUUAAAAAUAUAUCGUGGAAACAAGAAAA